rnacentral:tRNA from 1 species
CCUGAUGGCUCAGUUGGUAAAGAAUCUGCCUGCAAUGCAGGAGACCCAGGUUUGAUUCCUGGGUCAGGA